ACGGGGGGUGCAAGCGUUGUUCGGAAUCAUUGGGCGUAAAGGGCGGGUAGGCGGACCGGUAAGUCCGGAGUGCAAUCUGCCUGCUUAACCGACAAUCCGCUUUGGAUACUGUGGGUCUUGAGUCACACAGAGGAAGGUGGAAUUCCUGGUGUAGCGGUGAAAUGUGUAGAUAUCAGGAAGAACACCGGUGGCGAAGGCGGCCUCCUGGGUGGCGACUGACGCUGAGCCACGAAAGUGUGGGGAGCAAACAG
rnacentral:rRNA from 1 species